UACGGGGGGGGGCAAGCGUUGUUCGGAAUUACUGGGCGUAAAGGGCGCGUAGGCGGUUGGAUAAGUCAGCUGUGAAAACCACGAGCUUAACUCGUGGCCUGCAGUUGAGACUGUCUGGCUUGAGUGUGGGAGAGGAGAGUGGAAUUCCUGGUGUAGCGGUGAAAUGCGUAGAUAUCAGGAGGAACACCAACGGCGAAGGCAGCUCGCUGGGACGGUACUGACGCUAAGGCGCGAAAGCCAGGGGAGCAAACGGG
rnacentral:rRNA from 1 species